rnacentral:rRNA from 1 species
ACCUACGGGAGGCAGCAGUGGGGAAUUUUGGACAAUGGGGGCAACCCUGAUCCAGCAAUGCCGCGUGUGUGAAGAAGGCCUUCGGGUUGUAAAGCACUUUUGUCAGGAACGAAACGGUGAGGGCUAAUAUCCCUUGCUAAUGACGGUACCUGAAGAAUAAGCACCGGCUAACUACGUGCCAGCAGCCGCGGUAAUACGUAGGGUGCAAGCGUUAAUCGGAAUUACUGGGCGUAA